GAAGAAUUUUUUUUUAUGGAGGAAGGUCUUGCACUAAUAAUCGAUCGAUCUACUGUAAUGAUGAAGCUACGUACCAAACAAGUGAUUGAUAUUUGGUGCAGCUUCUUAUUUGCGUGACUGGACAAAUUUGGCUGCAACUCAUGAUAAUCUCACCAAUUCAAUAAGUCUAACUUAUCCCUAUAUAUUUUUGUCUGAUUCUUUAUUGUUUUCCAUUACCUGAAUUAUCAAUUCCUAGCUUUUAAUUAUUGUCAUUAAGAGCUUUCUAAGAGCUAUGGUCUACAAACUUUUUUUUUUUUUUUUUGUUUACUUGUGAAUUGAUUUGCAUGCAAAAUCUUAUUUGGUAAGUUGAGUAAUUUGGGAGAAUUGGAUUAGUUUUUAUUGAUAUUAGUUUAAAUGACUUCAAAGUUAUACUUUUAUUGAUUCUCGUUUUGUUUAUGGUUUGAGUAAUUGUACUACCUGGACAAUCCUUCUUUGUAAUAUUACAACAAUCACUACUGUUGUCACAAUUGUAGAGAUUCUUAAGAAUAAUGGGCUAGCUACGUAAAAGAAAAUAAUCCAUAAUUUUUAAUGUUAAUCUCUCUUAAGGUUGAAAGAGCAUGAUAUCUUUCUUAAGGUUGAAAGGUUUCAUCACCAGUCUUAUCAAACUUAGGAAUAAUAUCUUUGAUUCAUAUGGACUGAAAUUAUUUCUCUUAAUUUUUUUGAUUCACAUAUAAUAAAUUUUAAUUUUGAAGAAGAAAAUGUCUGACUUUAUUUUCUUUUGUCACGUGUUUAUUUAUUUUCUUCUCCAUGUUGUUUAAUGGCUUUACAUUGUUCUUGGAGAUUACAGAAGCUCCUAAACUACAUAAAACAUAAAUAUAAUAAUCCAACUAUGAUCAUAAUUGAGAACAAUAUGUACAUCAAAAGCCUAUAAACAUUGUAGAAUUGUGAUGAAGUUUUCAAAUGGAAGGAAAGUUGCAGUUUGGGGUUAUAUAUAUUUAACAUUUUUGUUCAUUAUAAGAUACCUUUGUUUUGACAUUUGAUCUUCUUGUUAAUUCUUUGAGUUGGUAAAUAGUAACUCAUGUGUGGGAUGUGACGAUGUGAGUGUGGGUUGUAGUUCCAUAAUCAUCUGUCAUCGGUUAUCGUCGCUCAUCGACCUCACCUGCCGUUUCACUUAUUGAGCAGGUAACAAAUUUGUUUUUUCAUGUUUGAUGCCUUGACGAUUUUGAAUUAUUUUGCAUUGGAAUCAUUAGAAUGCAACUGUGUCUUGCGGAUGCGUUUAAUUGUCAGGUAAGCAUUAUUUGUAGUUUUAGAAUCUGAAUCUACUUUGUUGCUUCAUAUCCAAUUAUUAUGCAUAAGGCUGGGGGUUAGGGUGCCUUGCAGAUGCGUUUAAUUGUUAGGUAAGCAUUAUUUGUAGUUUUAGAAUAUGAAUCUACUUUGUUGCUUCAUAUCCAAUUAUGCAUAAGGCUGAGGGGGGUUGAAAUGAAGGGCCGAAAAUGUUCUCACAAAAUUUUUGGCAAUCUAGUUAUUUUCCUAUAAUCUCACUAUUGUCUUGUUUCAAUCUUACAUCAUUGAGAGUAUUAACUUCUGACCUAUUUGUACAAUAUGUAUUAAUAUAUAUGUCUAUAGGAGGUCAAUGACAUGUGCAAAAUUUAGGGGCCAAAUGAAUUCAAACAACAGAAUGAAAGCUAAGGUCCAAACUUAAAAAGAAGGGAAAGAAAUGGCAAGCCAAGCAGCUAAUUCUAUCAAUGGCAACAUGAAGGCAAACCUUCUGUACUUUUACACUCAUACAUAUUAAUCAUGUUGUCUUUGUAGGUUCAACAGGAGUCGACAACUUCAUGAGUUUUCUUUCAAAGAAUAUUUUCAGAGACGAACAUUCUCGGUUGGUCGUUUAUGCUUCUGCAGAAAAUCUUGUUAGAUGUAUUCUAAUGGUAUUUAAAAUAUAUUUUGAUUAAGGGUUGGGAUUGUAAAUUGUUGACACUUGAUUGGAAAUGUAUGAAUAUUAUAAAUUGUAUUAUAUCGUAUAUAUAUUAAAGUGUUAGCUACUUUUUUC